AGGAAGCGCGGGCGUCUGCCCUCCCGCCGCCCGUUUCGAGGUCGUGGAGAGGAGAGGAAAUGGCCCCGGAGCAACCACGCAGCUGCCUGAUCGUCUGGCCCGACCGCGCCUCAGUAGAUUUGGGUCCUGGUCUGAGCAGCCGGGCUGGUGCGGGUGUCCUCACUAGGAUAAUGAAUACAGCUCCACUACCUAUACUACCCAAGACGACCCCUCACACGCUCUGCGAGGAAACCGGUCUUCGGACCUGUGCCCCCAACCUGGUGGCCUGCACCAGUGAUAGGGCAAUUUGACUCCUAGUCGUGGGGGCUUGUGAUACUAUCUCUACCUACAGACACCCACUGCCUGUCACUGCACAGUAAACCUUCCUGCUCCACAGGGCUGCCUCCCCACUGGAAUUCCCACCGUGUUCCUGGUUCUGGAAAGUCUGUUUUCCCGGGUGGCCAUGAUACCCUCCCUACUACUCCACUUCUUCCUUGCAGUCACAAGCAGCAGAGUGGAAUGGGAGCUCGACACUGACUAGGCCUUUAACAGUCCUAAGUUAAGGGUUAGAGAGGACCACCCAGUACCUGGCACAAAGCAGGUACAGCUUAAAUGAUAGUUCUCCUGGCAAUGAGAGACGGGCCUUCACUCAUCAGAGGAGUCAGAGCUCCCUUCCCUUCGCCUUCACCAGCUGGCUUUGUCUACAGUGCAACAGAAGAGCUGCAGCUUUCAGACAGACAGAGUGAAAGGUUUCUCAUUAGCAUCCCUCAACCUCGGGAAGCUUCUCCCGGUCCCGAAGGCUAAGAGCCUUUUCCAGCAGCCAGCCUUGCAAUGCUACCCUUCUCCUCCACCUCUGAAGCUUUGAGAUUGGGCCACCAUGUUGGACUAGGAUUGCAGAAGGCCAUUGCUGGUUCUGCACUUUCCUUUGAGCUUAGACGUCACAACUCAUCAUGCAAUUGUGAUUAUUACAGUCCUUUCUGCAGUGCCAGUGUACCCACCAGGCUGGACACUUCAAAAUGGCAGGGCUAUAUCUGUGUGGCUACUACUACCUUGCAGCAAGGCUUGUUGAGCCCUUACAGUACUAUAGAUGUCUUGGCCAGCUGGUUUGUUGUUAUAGCGACAGUGGACUGCAGUGUUCUGCUGAGACAACCGAGAAUUCCUCCAGACAUGACUCAAACAUCCCCAAGUGACAAAAUUACCUAGAAUUGAUAGCCUCCUCUCUCUCCACAGCCUAUCCUGGCGUCCCUGAAAUAAAUGAAUGCACAGCUCUGCUCUGUCUUAGAA
rnacentral:lncRNA from 1 species